rnacentral:lncRNA from 1 species
CCUCCCCUAAUCUUUCAGUCAUCUUCAAAGAUGCAUCUUGAAACCUCUUUUUAAGAUCUUUAUAAAUCCUCUAAGAUCUUUUAAAAUCCAUAAAUGGCUUACUUUGUGAUAGCAGUUUGAGAAAGGCUGGGAAAAUGAAGGAACUGCUUCAGGAAGUGUUGAUGCAGCCCACUCUUUGCUGAAUCUCUGUGUCGGAGAAAAAUGCUGAUUUGGUUUGUAUUUUCUACUUUUCAGAUUCCAAUUUUUACAAACGGCAUCUGGCAUCCUAUUAGUGGAAUCUCAUGAGUGCGGAGUCAGGGACAAAGGGACAUUUCGAACUGAUAUUUGGGAGUUACUAAUCAAUGUAUUUCCAUAUUAUUAGCUCUUAAAAACUGAAUGCAAGCAUAUUUAAUUAGAUUUCUACCAAAAACCGAUUUUUAAGAAGCACAGUGUUCAGGACCAGACAUUUUUAAUAACAUCUUUUUUCUUUUUGGUCCGGGGAAAUAUUUUACGGGAAUAGGAUUUGUCUUCUGCUAUGCCUCUGAGGUGUAUGUUUUUGCUUAUCCUGCUCUGUACCUGGGUAAACUGGUCUCUUCUUUAUCAACUGAGCUUUAACAUAACUUUCCCUGGAAGAACUGAAUUGAAAGUUGUUCCAGCAUCGAGGAUGUCAGCAGAGACUAGCAGAGAAGAUGUGGUAGCAAUACAAAGAUUUUAGAGGAGUGACUUAAAUUUAUAUUUCUCUUGGUCAAGAAGUUAAAAGGAUUUGGACAUCUUGAAGUAUCAGGGAAUACAAAAGGUGCUGCUUCACAGUCGUUAAGAAGUGAGUUUGUGUCGUUUGUAGGGACAUGGAUGAAUCUGGAAAACAUCAUCCUCAGCAAACUGACACAAGAACAGAAAAUGAAACACCGCAUAUCCUCACUCAUAGGUACAAGGGUGUGGACCUGCCUCGUGAUCAGAAUGCCGUAGAAAUGAGAGCUGUCAGCAAUGGGUCUCCACUGCGAAUACUCAGGAAUGAACAAGGCCAUUUUAACUCCAUGGUAAGUGUGGUAAGGGGGAAGCCAAUGUGAAAGUCAGGGAAGUCACAGUCUACUUUAAAUAUUAGUUCCU